GACAGAGGGUGCAAACGUUGUUCGGAUUUACUGGGCGUAAAGCGUGUGUAGGCGGCUUGGCAAGUUGGAUGUGAAAGCCCCGGGCUCAACCUGGGAACUGCAUCCAAAACUGGCAAGCUAGAGUACGGUAGAGGGUGGUGGAAUUUCCUGUGUAGCGGUGAAAUGCGUAGAUAUAGGAAGGAACACCAGUGGCGAAGGCGACCACCUGGACUGAUACUGACACUGAGGUGCGAAAGCGUGGGGAGCAAACAGG
rnacentral:rRNA from 1 species